CAAGUACAAUGUGCAAAGAUAGAAAGGAAUGCUUGCUCUGGUCGACGCGGGCGACGCAGAAGGGAUAAAGGCCGCCCUCGCCGUCCACUCGGCUGAUGCCCUCGAAGAAUUUGUCGACGAGUGUCCGCUGCACUUGGCCGCCCGGAGAGGCCGCGAAGAGGCGGUGGAGGCGCUGCUGGCCGAGGGAGCCGACCCCAAUGGCCAGGCCGCUUUUGG